GGCCACCAGUGCACCGAUCGAACGGCUAAAUAGCCGGAUGAUUUCUCUAAGAAAUCAUCCGGCUUAUUUGUAGCAGUCCCCUUAAAAUAAACCACACCAUAGUUCAGGCCAGCGGCUCUAGUUCACGCCGGCAACAGAGCCAACGGCCUACACGUCCUUGUCGGCAACACAGCUAGCGGCCGGCAACAGAGCCAACCUACAAAAUGAAUAGUUUUGUCGCCGGCAACACAGCCAGCUCCCAAAAUAAAUAGGUUCCUCACCAGCACACAGCCAGCAGCCGGCACCCAUGCCAGCCUUCAAAAAGAACGGCCACGACCGAUCAAACGACCUAGUUCAGACCGUCGGCGUCGAACAUCUCGCUCUGUCUGGCCGAUCUCCUCCAACGUGCAUUCUGACCGCGGCUUCCUUGGACCCUUGGCCGCCUUCUUCUUCACCUUUCCGGGCGGGUCGACGGUCAGACCGCCCGAAUUCGGCGGGGCGUCGGCCAUGGACGUGGGAGGGUAAUAGGCGGGACGUGGGAGGGUUUUAGGAGAAAUGACGUGAAAUGGGAGGCCGGGUUGGUGCUUUGUGCCACCGACGGACGGGCCAAGGAAGGACAAGCACGUGCGUCCCGCCCGUCCGCGCGUUGUCCGUUUCACCCUAAAAGUGGCCCAAAUUUAGGUCGGGAUGGGUCAAAAGCAGACAGAAAAUGACAAAAGUCUGUUUGCGUUCGCUCGCCGGUACAUUGCCCCAAACGGACGCACUCGGACAGGACGGGGUCACGCGCUGGAGUUGGCCUUAGGUGCUGAGAUCAUAGGGCAAAGGCGGAAUGGAAUGGAAUGUUACCGGUGAAGAGCUUGAAGGCGGUGGGGAGUCCCCGGCGGUUGGUGGUGAUGUUGGGCGACGGGCGGAGGAGCUCCGACCGGUCGGCCUCGUACACCCAUGCCAGCCUUCAAAAAGAACGGCCACGACCGAUCAAACGACCUAGUUCAGACCGUCGGCGUCGAACAUCUCGCUCUGUCUGGCCGAUCUCCUCCAACGUGCAUUCUGACCGCGGCUUCCUUGGACCCUUGGCCGCCUUCUUCUUCACCUUUCCGGGCGGGUCGACGGUCAGACCGCCCGAAUUCGGCGGGGCGUCGGCCAUGGACGUGGGAGGGUAAUAGGCGGGACGUGGGAGGGUUUUAGGAGAAAUGACGUGAAAUGGGAGGCCGGGUUGGUGCUUUGUGCCACCGACGGACGGGCCAAGGAAGGACAAGCACGUGCGUCCCGCCCGUCCGCGCGUUGUCCGUUUCACCCUAAAAGUGGCCCAAAUUUAGGUCGGGAUGGGUCAAAAGCAGACAGAAAAUGACAAAAGUCUGUUUGCGUUCGCUCGCCGGUACAUUGCCCCAAACGGACGCACUCGGACAGGACGGGGUCACGCGCUGGAGUUGGCCUUAGGUGCUGAGAUCAUAGGGCAAAGGCGGAAUGGAAUGGAAUGUUACCGGUGAAGAGCUUGAAGGCGGUGGGGAGUCCCCGGCGGUUGGUGGUGAUGUUGGG
rnacentral:lncRNA from 1 species